rnacentral:sRNA from 2 species
CCAAAAUGCUUCUAGGGUUCCGGUUGAAGUUAUAAAAUGCUUGAACGACAGGUCCGAGAGAAGCGAGCUAGGCUUGAGCAAUUUCAAAAGAAUUCAAGUUAGCUGCACGGCGGGAAAAAAGCCCGGGAGGU